UACAUAGGUGGCAAGCGUUGGCCGGAAUUAAUGGGCGUAAAGGGCGCGUAGGCGGGCUUCUAAGUCAGAUGUGAAAUCCCUGGGCUUAACUCGGGUAGUGCAUUUGAAACUGGAAGGCUUGAGUGCAGGAGAGGAAAGUGGAAUUCCUAGUGUAACGGUGAAAUGCGUAGAUAUUAGGAGGAACACCAGUGGCGAAGGCGACUUUCUGGACUGUAACUGACGCUGAGGCGCGAAAGCGUGGGUAGCAAACAGG
rnacentral:rRNA from 1 species